UGUGGAGUGAUUGAUUAAAACCCCGUUUGAUUUUGAUGAGCUCAAAGCAUUUGAGUAUAUCGUGUGAUUACUAAUGAAUUCAAUUGAGUGUUUCAGUGAAAAUCCUGCUCAAGUGUUUCUAGACAUGGUUUACAGUAUUUUGGAUAAGUUAAGAAGUCUGCUGAACCAAUGUCUGAGACUCGAGUCGACUCCCGAGUUUCACGA
rnacentral:lncRNA from 1 species